CUGUGGGACCGAGGCACAGAGAGCCAAGACGGCCGAGGGUUUAUCAAGACUGACAACAACAUGACGGUCAGAGUGUUAGAGGACUGCCAGAACCAUAACAAUACUGCCGGGAGGGUCAUCGGGAAGGCGUGUUCACCUGCUGCCAGAUGUGCUCCACCUCAAGUGUGCCGGCAUGAAGGAGCCGGAGGAGGAGGGGAGUGCCAUGCCGUCAUACAGGAAGAGAACACGGAAAACAGCUCUGAAAAAUGAAGAAAGGAAGGAAGGACGGAAGGAAGAUAAUCUCAGAAGACCCAUACAGUCCAUUACAUGUCUUUCAUGUUAUGUUAUUACAUUCCUGUACUCCCAAAGCCCGGUCUGGGGCCACAGCACUCACAAGGUCCAGAUGCAGACUGCGGCCACCACUUGAGCAGCCCGGCUGCUGUACACCAAUCCUUAUUUAGUUGUGUUCUUGUAGAGUUAAAUCCAGACAUCCCAUAUCCUUAGGCCAGGUCAAAAGUAAAGUUUGGUGUGCAUGGCCUCAGUGCUCAUCUCUGUUACAUUGCCCCUGGAGGCUGUGGAGGCAGGAGCCCAGCACCCUGGGACACACUCAGACUACCACAGGUGCCUCCCCAGGGGUCUCCAGGUACACAUGAUCACCCAGACACAAAGGAUGACCUGCAUACUAACUGCCCAAGCCGGGAUUCAAACCAUGGCCAGCAAAUUUGUAGGUAGGCAUGCCAGCCACAGCACCAUGGAGCCAUGUAUUAUACUAGUACUUGGCACUGGUAUCCUAUGCUAUUUAUUCCUAGCUAGUUGGACACCAGAGAGGUUUCCUGUAUUAAUUUCAUGGGUUUUAUGUUAUAUAUUUGUUUAUUAGGUGUAUCUUUUUAUUAGUUUUUAUCAUGAUUUUUAUUGUUAUUUAGUGAAGCAGCUCAAGGAAAACUGUUGUUGUUCUGGAUGUUUUCUUCCUCUCUCUCUUGUCAUCAUUUUA